UACGGAGGAGGCAAGCGUUAUCCGGAAUUAUUGGGCGUAAAGCGUCCGUAGGUGGCGUGUCAAGUCUGCGGUCAAAGACUGGGGCUUAACCCUGGAAAGGCCGUGGAAACUGACGAGCUAGAGUGCAGUAGGGGUAGAGGGAAUUCCCGGUGUAGCGGUGAAAUGCGUAGAGAUCGGGAAGAACAUCGGUGGCGAAAGCGGGUUGCUGGGCUGACACUGACGCUGAGGCGCGAAAGCCAGGGGAGCGAACGGG
rnacentral:rRNA from 1 species